GACGAACGCUGGCGGCGUGCUUAACACAUGCAAGUCGAACGGUAAGGCCCUUCGGGGCACACGAGUGGCGAACGGGUGAGUAACACGUGGGUGAUCUGCCCUGCACUUCGGGAUAAGCCUGGGAAACUGGGUCUAAUACCGGAUAGGACUCCGGACUGCAUGGUCUGGGGUGGAAAGCUUUUGCGGUGUGGGAUGGGCCCGCGGCCUAUCAGCUUGUUGGUGGGGUGAUGGCCUACCAAGGCGACGACGGGUAGCCGGCCUGAGAGGGUGACCGGGCACACUGGGACUGAGAUACGGCCCAGACUCCUACGGGAGGCAGCAGUGGGGAAUAUUGCACAAUGGGCGCAAGCCUGAUGCAGCGACGCCGCGUGGGGGAUGACGGCCCUCGGGUUGUAAACCUCUUUCAGCACAGACGAAGCGCAAGUGACGGUAUGUGCAGAAGAAGGACCGGCCAACUACGUGCCAGCAGCCGCAGUAA
rnacentral:rRNA from 1 species